rnacentral:rRNA from 1 species
CCUACGGGAGGCAGCAGUGAGGAAUAUUGGUCAAUGGACGAGAGUCUGAACCAGCCAAGUAGCGUGAAGGAUGACUGCCCUAUGGGUUGUAAACUUCUUUUAUAUGGGAAUAAAACGUUCAACGUGUGGGAUUUUGUAUGUACCAUAUGAAUAAGGAUCGGCUAACUCCGUGCCAGCAGCCGCGGUAAUACCGAGGAUCCGAGCGUUAUCCGGAUUUAUUGGGUUUAAAGGGAGCGUAGGUGGAUUGUUAAGUCAGUUGUGAAAGUUUGCGGCUCAACCGUAAAAUUGCAGUUGAAACUGGCAGUCUUGAGUACAGUAGAGGUGGGCGGAAUUCGUGGUGUAGCGGUGAAAUGCUUAGAUAUCACGAAGAACUCCGAUUGCGAAGGCAGUUCACUGGACUGCAACUGACACUGAGGCUCGAAAGUGUGGGUAUCAAACAGGAUUAGAUACCCUGGUAGUC